rnacentral:rRNA from 1 species
UAGGGAAUAUUGGUCAAUGGAGGAAACUCUGAACCAGCCAUGCCGCGUGCAGGAUGACGGCCCUCUGGGUUGUAAACUGCUUUUAUACGGGAAGAAAAAGUGCUACGUGUAGCAUAUUGACGGUACCGUAAGAAUAAGGAUCGGCUAACUCCGUGCCAGCAGCCGCGGUAAUACGGAGGAUCCAAGCGUUGUCCGGAUUUAUUGGGUUUAAAGGGUGCGUAGGCGGAUCUUUAAGUCAGUGGUGAAAGCC